AUGGCUUACAGUAAGCUGACACUCUUGAUGGUUGCUCUGUUUGUUUGGACUGCUGAAGGCCAGACCAUAACAGAGUCUGAACCAGCAGUUAAAAAACCUGGAGAAUCCCACAGACUCACCUGCUCAACAUCUGGGUUUGACUUUGGAGGCUCAGUGUGGAACUGGAUCAGACAGGCUCCUGGAAAAGGACUGGAGUGGAUCGCUUUGGUGCACACAUAUAGUUCUCCUAUCUAUUACUCCCAGUCAGUCCAGGGUAGAUUCACCAUCUCCAGAGAUGACUCCAGCAGUAAGGUCUAUCUACAGAUGAACAGUCUGAAGACUGAAGACACAGCAGUGUAUUACUGCGCUAGAAGAGACACAUGUCUGAACACUUGUAACAUGAAGCCACCAGAGGAGGAGCCCUCACACCACUAA